GAUGAAGAACGCAGCGAAAUGCGAUAAGUAGUGUGAAUUGCAGAAUUCAGUGAAUCAUCGAAUCUUUGAACACACAUUGCGCCCGCCAGUAUUCUGGCGGGCAUGCCUGUUCGAGCGUCAUUUCAACCAUCAAGCCCCAGGCUUGUGUUGGGGACCUGCGGCUGCCGCAGGCCCUGAAAACCAGUGGCGGGCUCGCUGUCACACCGGGCGUAGUAGAUUUUAUCUCGCUCAGGGCGUGCUGCGGGUUCCGGCCGUUAAAAAGCCUUUUUUACCCAAGGUUGACCUCGGAUCAGGUAGGAAGACCCGCUGAACUUAAGCAUAUCAAUAAGCGGAGGA
rnacentral:misc_RNA from 1 species